UGGACUAAUGAUGAGAAAUUAUCGGGGUCAGAGAUUAUGAAUAGACUAUUUUUGUAAAUUUGUGGUCCAA